UCCCCAUUUUCUAGAUAAUCAAGCCAUCGCUUUUUAUUUCACUUUUCCGGUACCGGAUUCUCCUCGGAGAAUUAUAUUCAUACAAAUGGGGAUUGUAGCCUUCGUGGGUACGAUCUCUUCUAGAGAUCUAUAUUUUUCAUGUACCAUGUAUUUUUCUCUUGUAGAGAAUUUUAUAUCUUGCACCAAUAAAGUUUUCAUAAUACUUUAUGUGCUUGAGCUCAUUAUUUCUUUCACU
rnacentral:lncRNA from 1 species